rnacentral:sRNA from 1 species
AGAAGCGGAGGAGGUGGCACCCGGGACCGAGCUGGGGUCUUGGAGGAAGAGAGGAUGGCAUCGUCGAGCCCUGACUCCCCAUGUUCCUGCGACUGCUUUGUCUCCGUGCCCCCGGCCUCAGCCAUCCCGGCUGUGAUCUUUGCCAAGAACUCGGACCGACCCCGGGACGAGGUGCAGGAGGUGGUGUUUGUCCCCGCAGGCACUCACACUCCUGGGAGCCGGCUCCAGGUGGGUUAGACUUUAUGGGGUGCUGGGAGGUGUGGCAGAUCUCUGCAUUCUUUUAAGACCUUCUUCCCUGCUCCCCACACCUGAGAGGCUGCCAGAAGUAGUGGAAGUGCAUGAGCUUUAGGUCUACCAACCUGGCCUGAGCCCAUUAUGUAGCCUCAGUCUACCUCAGUUUCCUCUUCUGUCAAAUGGGAAUGAGACCUUCCUCAAACGGAUCUAUAAGGUGAUUGGCAGAGUGCCAGCACUUGAGGGGCCGCCCCUCUAUGAGUGGACGCUUUCUUUCUCCUCCCUCACCUCCAGUGCACCUACAUUGAAGUGGAACAGGUGUCGAAGACGCACGCUGUGAUUCUGAGCCGUCCUUCUUGGCUAUGGGGGGCUGAGAUGGGCGCCAACGAGCAUGGUGUCUGCAUUGGCAACGAGGCUGUGUGGACGAAGGAGCCAGUUGGGGAGGGGGAAGCCCUGCUGGGCAUGGACCUACUCAGGUGCAGACCCUGCCCUUCCUCAUCUGCCUGACACACCAGAAAUCUGGGGGCUGAGUUUUGACCUGGGCCCAUCCAUCCCUCCCCCAGCCUGGUUCACAGGGGCCUCCUCCUCUCUGCAGACUUUGCCCUUGUGCCUUCGUGAGGAAGGCUGCAGCAGCAGCCACCUUUGGGCCUCUCCUGGCCCAGAAAUAGAGCAGUGGUUAUUUAUUUUCAGUUGAAAUCUCACGUAGAGUCCCGAUUUAUAAAGCCAGUAAUAGUGGAUGGAGCAGCUCUGGGUGGAGAGAGGUUGGGGGCUCAGGACACUUCUCUCUCUGAAACUGUGUUUCAGGCCUUUUCAUGGAAUCCUCAAAGCAUAGCACAUGGAACCAGAGCAUUGAAAGCCAGUGGCAUAAUUGCGUUUGAUACGAUCAGUGCCAGCAGAUUUGCUGUGUGACUUGGGCCUAUCACCAAACCUCUCCGGGCCUCUUCUGUCCCCUGGAACUUCUGCCACCAGUCAUUGAUCCCUCUGUCACCCUUCUGUCCCUUG